AACUCGUUAGAAAAGCAAGUUUUCAGUCCUCACCCCAGAAUCAGAAACUCGGGGUGGAGCCCAGCAAUCUAUGUCCUGACAAGUCCACGUGAUACCCCAGUGCUGGCUAGGGUUGGAAAGCCACUGCUCUACCGAGCGAGCUAGACCCAUCAUAGUGGGACAAGCGAGAGGAUGAGGCCAUGCAGACCAGGGAGAGAGGCUCCUUACGCUGACAUUCAAAGACCUCAAUGACCCGGCCCCAGCCUAGCUCUGCAGCCUUAUCUCCCUACAAACCAUCAAAGCAGAACAAAAAGCUGUGCCUCCGAUUUAGGUUUCAGCAGACCACAAGAAGCACUUCAUGAACUGGUGACUCAAGUAGAAAAUUGCUGUUCCACGCGCUUGACACCAAUCCACCCAUUUCACCCAUAUGAUCACCCUACCUUUGCAUGAGUUGCCGUGUGGACAGAGCAGGGACACAAUGAGGCAGUGGAUUGCAGCUCUGCUCUUACCUAGAACACACUGCCUCUCGCCAGGAAUCGUCCUACCAUUUUAUGCAGUUAUCCCAGACAGUGAUGCACAAGCUUUGGGGAAAAAAAAACCCCACAAGUCCAAAGGUGUAUUUCAUAAUAAAGGCAAGUUCUCU